rnacentral:rRNA from 1 species
UACGUAGGGUGCGAGCGUUGUCCGGAAUUAUUGGGCGUAAAGGGCUCGUAGGCGGUUUGUCGCGUCGGGAGUGAAAUCCACUGGCUUAACUGGUGGCUUGCUUUCGAUACGGGCAGACUGGAGGUAUGCAGGGGAGAACGGAAUUCCUGGUGUAGCGGUGAAAUGCGCAGAUAUCAGGAGGAACACCGGUGGCGAAGGCGACCCGCUGGCCAGCGACUGACGCUGGAGACGCGAAAGCGUGGGGAGCAAACAGG